rnacentral:ncRNA from 1 species
UUGCGGGGGUACCUGUUAAAGGUUGAGAAAUACCCAUUGAACCUGAUCCGGCUGAUACCGGCGUAGGGAAGCAGUGAUCU